GGCUGGUGUGAAGAGGGGGUGCGGCCAUCUCCAGGCCCCACAGCAGCCGCCUCCCUGCUCAGCCCAGACCUGGUUUGCAUCAGGGAGAGGGCGGAGUUUGGCUGUCACAGGAAGAGUCCCUCCCAAGGGGACAUCUGGCAUGGGUGCCCGCCUGGCUGCCUGUCUUCCGGCCCCGACCUCAUGGUGUGGGAGCCGCUGCCUUGGCCGGCCCACUUGGGAACUCCUUCCCCAGGCGCCUGAAGCUGGCCCAGUUUGACUAUGGGAGGAAGUGCGAGGAGAUCGCUGAGCUGACGAAGGGCAUGUCGGCCCGGGAGAUCGCACAGCUGGCUCAGUCCUGGCAGGACACGGCGUAUGCCUCCGAGGAUGGGGUCCUCACCGAGGCCAUGUUGGAUGCCCAUGUUGAAGACUUUGUCGAGCAGCACCAGAAGAAAAUGCGCUGGCUGAAGAGGGAGGGCCUGUCCUCAUGGACCAGCACCCCUUAACCUGAGUCCGCGGUGAGACCACACGUCACGGAGCCUGGCUGCGGACCCCUCCCACCCCUGCUUUUCCGGUCCCUGCACGUUUAGGAAAUGCUUCCCCUAAUAAACUCCCACAGGUGCCACA